GAGGCUGACAGAUAACCCUUGAUAACCAGCUGGAAGGGGUAUGCAGAAAUACGCAAUCUUCUCCUAUGCAGAAAAGGUCAUUCCCUUGCCUUCAGCAAGGAGAGUCCCAUAAUUAGGUCAAUAGCUGGAUUUCUGCUGUUGGGAAAACAGGACUUGGAGGUAUAUCUCAUCUCCUUGACAGAAUGGAGUUUAUGUCUUGUAUAAAAACAUGCAGCUGGAGCAAAGCAGAAAAAGAAGCUAAAACCAGAAGUUACCUGUCCAUUAUGAUGCAGAAUCAAAGUUAAGAGAAACACCAAAUGCUGUUCAUCUGGCAUAGUGAAUGGAAAAUAAUGGAAAUGGAAAGCACAUUUUGAGUUGUAAUUGAAUAACUCAUUAUCUAUAUCACUGGAAAGUAAACUCGGUGUUCGUGGGCUGUUUUGGUUUUUUAAUAUAUGCUUAAAACUGACAACAUCCCCUGAAAGAUCAAAUCUACCAUUGUGUUCAGUCCCAGGUGCACUUCAGCAACAGGGACCCCAUAAAACACAGAUGUGUUUCACUGAAGCAGUCAAUAGGACUUAAGUGCUUUGCUGAACUGGAGCCAUAACUGGACCUGAGUCAGAGACCCAUCAACCUCACAUCCUGGAGCACUUCCAGAGUUCAUAGAAAUCCCUUUUCCCAGCUGUAACAGUACCUGUCCUGGCAGAGAGGUGUAUGAGUCCUGCAGGGACUUCAAAUAAAAGUGUUUCCAGAGAGGGUCUGUUUCUUCA
rnacentral:lncRNA from 14 species